GAAUGUGAAGGAAAAGAAAAAGAAAAUCAUGUUGCCAAGUGGUUCGUCAUUUCCACGCUGGAAAGACCGUAGGGGCACGAAAGGAAGGUUGUGUGUCAUUUUCUGAAUCGCCGUUCCUCUCACUCUCAGUCGCAGACGAAGUUUCCUUCUCAACCAAGCCGGCGCCAAAACUCAUCCUCAAGCGGCUCAUCAUCGCCCUUUAUUUUAAUCACAUUUCUUUUUCUUUAUUUUUUAAUUUUAAUUUUUCAUAAAAAAAUUUAGAAGUGACGAAUUGGGGCGCAGGAUCGGUGACGGUGUUGUGUUGUGCUCAGUUCGGGUGCGAACAUUUUCACCGUCGUCGUCGUCAUCUUCGGUUUCCACUUGCCCACUACUAUCAGCAGCCCGCGAUUCCAAUCAAAAGAUCAAAAGAAUAUUCAUAUGUGGAUUCAUUAUUAAACCGUUGUCCAAAACUCCCAAGUGUUCGUUCAUAAUUGGGUUUCUUGGAUUUCCCAAUUCAAUACGGAUUCUUUCUCCUUCCUCCAAUUUCAAGGGCUUUGCUUUGGUUCCUUGAUAUCCGAUAAGAGUAUUUAAAUGGCGGCCGCCGGCGACGAAGAUGCCGAUGCGGUCCUUAGUGAUGUUGAGGACGAUGACUGUCCCUUGCCGAUUAGGAUCACGAAUCCGCCUCCAGAAGAAGUCUCCGUUGACAGAGUUAGGGAGCUUCUCGUGGAGCUCGAUCGUGAGCGUCAAGCUCGCCAGGCGGCCGAGAAUUCCAAAUCCGAAUUGCAGAGUUCGUUCAAUCGGUUGAAGGCGCUUGCUCUUGAGGCUAUCAAGAAACGCGAUGAGUUCGGGAGGCAGAGGGAUGAUGCUUUGCGGGAAAAAGAAGAGGCUCUGAAUUCGCAGGAGAAGCUUUUGGUCGAAUUAGCCGAGACGAACAGAGUGAAGAAUGAGUUAUCGAUACAGAGAGAUGAGAUUGCCAAGCAAUUCGAUGAAUUGGUGAAGGAGAGAGACGAUCUUCGAGCGGAAAUUGGAAAUUCUACCCAGAUGUUAGUGAAUGGGAUGGACAAAAUAUCUGCGAAGGUGAGUAAUUUCAAAAAUUUUGCUGGUAAUGGGUUAUCCAGAUCGCAGAAAUACACGGGUUUGUCAGCUGUAGCAUAUGGGGUAAUUAUGCGAGCUAAUGAAAUUGUUGAAGAACUUGUUAAACAGAUUGAGUCUACUGCUCAAUCUAGGAAUAAGACAAGAGAGCAGAUGGAGCAGAGGAAUUAUGAGAUUGCUAUUGAGGUUUCUCAGCUGGAAGCAACAAUUAGUCAAUUAAGGGAAGAGGUCACGAAGAAAACUUCUGUUGUUGAGAAUUUAGAGAGGACUCUUGCCGAGAAGGAUGAAAAAGUGAAUGAAGCCGUGGAGUUGAAACAGAUUGUCGUUGAUUACGAUGACAGGUUGAGAAAGAUAGAAACAAAGAUGGAAUCACAGAGGACUUUAUUGAUUGAUCAGUUGAGUUUUGUCUCUAAAAUUCAUAACCAGGCUUACAAUGUUAUUAAGAUCGUUGAUGCAAAUCAUUCUGAAGUGUCAGAAUCCUUGUUUCUUCCUCAAGUAACAGACAUUGAAGAACUUAUUCGAGCCUCUUUGGCAGGGAUGGAAUCUAUAAAUGAAUUGAUUAGAAUUGUUGCUGAGAAAGCAAAGGAUGUGUUUGAGAAUAAAAAUAAUGAAAUCAAGACUUUGGAAGAUACAGUGAUUCGAUUAGUUAGGGAGAAAGAUCAAAUUGGUUCUUUACUUAGAAGUGCUUUGUCAAAGAGGAUAACAUCUGAUCCAACUUCCAGAAAAAAUGAGUUGUUCCUCGCUGCAGAAAAUGGUUUAAGGGAGGCUGGGAUAGAUUUCAAAUUUAGUAAGCUUUUUGGAGACGGAAGAGAUACAGCUGCAAACGACAAGGCAAAUGUAAUGGAAAAAGAGGAGGAUGACAUAUGCUCUCUGGCUGGUGCUUUGGAGAACGUUGUUAAGGCCUCUCAGCUUGAGAUCAUUGAUCUGCAGCAUGCUAGAGAUGAAUUAAGGACAGAGUUGAGUUUACUUAAGCAGCACGUGGAAGCUCAGGCCAAAGAGCUCAACCAUAGAAUGCAACGAAUAGAAGAACUUGAAGAGAAGGAGAGAGUUGCAAAUGAAAGUGUUGAGGGGUUAAUGAUUGAUAUUGCCUCUGCUGAAGAAGAAAUUAAUAGAUGGAAAGUAGCAGCAGAGCAAGAAGCUGGCGCAGGCAGAGCUAUUGAACAAGAAUUUGCCGCACAACUAUCAGCACUUAAGCAGGAGCUUGAGGAGGCCAAGCAAUCCUUGUUGGAAUCGGAGAAUAAGCUAAAAUUCAAAGAAGAGACGACAGUGGCUGCAAUGGCGGCAAGGGAUGCAGCAGAGAAAUCUCUGAAGUUGGCAGACUUGAGGGCAUCGCGGCUAAGGGAAAGAGUGGAAGAGCUUACCCGUCAGCUUGAAGAGUUUGAGAGUAGGGAAGACUCAAGGAGCCGAAAUCGAUCUAGAUAUGUUUGCUGGCCGUGGCAGUGGCUUGGCAUGGAUUUUGUAGGAUCUCAUCGGCCUGAUACGCAACAAUUACAGGCUUCUAACGAGAUGGAGCUCUCUGAACCUUUCUUAUAAUUGCACCAUACUUCUUCCGUCUGCCUUUUUUUUUUUUUUUGGAUUGCUUCAUUUUUUCGUGUCCUGAAAUUGUAGCUUGUAGCAUCAACAUCCUGAACAAUCUCUAUUGAUCAACCACCGUGAAAUUGUACAGCCCGAGUAUCUGCUAGUUUUGACUUACCAUUUGGUUGUCCUUUGUGAUCUUUUCAUUGACACAUUUGUAAACUAGACUCCCCAAAAUUUAGAAAGAUGGGUUGUUUGUGCAAGGCCCGACCUGGGGCAUGACCAGGAGCGAUGCUUCAGCUUAUGGAUCUGUCAAUCAUGGUAGCUACUCUGAGGUUGUUCAUUGAAAAAAGGAUUUCCUUUACUCUGAUGGAGAGCUCAUGUUCCCUUUGGGCUUUCGACAAGAUUUUGAGUCGAGAUAUUUGCAGCAGAAGGAAUUGAUAAUCGUUACCAGGAGCAACAGAGGAUGGGAAUGUGGACCACCUCGAAGAAUUUUACCAACGAUUCAUUUUAAGGCAAAUCAUGAGACUUGUCUAGCCGUCUGUGGAGGCAAUGUUCCAGUUGUUCUUCCUAUUUCUAGUCUUCUUACCAGGUUGGAUUUUUGGAAGGUAAAAAUAUACGAGGAACUUGAGCUUUACCAA